CGCCUGCAACUCGCCCCGCAACUGCUGCAAUUCCAAAUUUCCGUGCGCCAAAGUCUGCCGGAGAACCCGCGUCUCCUCUUCCAGCUCGCGCACACGGACCUCCGAACCAGCAAGGUGCUUGGCCGAUUGGUCUUUAAUGUACUGUUCG
rnacentral:rRNA from 13 species